rnacentral:rRNA from 1 species
AUGAUCCGCAUCAACGGGAACGGGCGUGUUGUGCUGGCCAAGGUCAUCGACGAGUGCGACUCGGUGUACGGCUGCGACGCCGAGCACAACUUCGAGCCACCGUGCCCAUACAACGACGUAGACGCGUCACCAGCCGUGUGGAAGGCGCUGGGGCUCAAGGAGGCGAUUGGAGUGUUCAAGAUCACAUGGUCUGAUGUGUGA